rnacentral:misc_RNA from 1 species
GAUGAAGAACGCAGCGAAAUGCGAUACGUAAUGUGAAUUGCAGAUCUCUCAGUGAACCAUCGAAUUUUUGAACGCACAUAGCGCCCGCCGGUCAUUCCGGCGGGCAUGCCUGUCCGAGCGUCAUUGCUGCCCUCAAGCACGGCUUGUGUGUUGGGCCUCCGUCCUCCUCCCGGGGGACGGGCCCGAAAGGCAGCGGCGGCACCGCGUCCGGUCCUCGAGCGUAUGGGGCUUCGUCACCCGCUCUUGUAGGCCCGGCCGGCGCUUGCCGACACAUCAAUCUUUUUUCCAGGUUGACCUCGGAUCAGGUAGGGAUACCCGCUGAACUUAAGCAUAUCAAUAAGCGGAGGA